rnacentral:rRNA from 1 species
AGAGAGAGACAUGCGCGCAUAUCAAUAAGCGGAGGAAAAGAAACUAACUAGGAUUCCCUCAGUAACGGCGAGUGAAGCGGGAAGAGCUCAAAUUUGAAAUCUUCAAGGUUCUACCUUGACGAAUUGUAGUUUAAAGAAGUGUUUUCUGUUGGAGUUUUGGUAAAAGUUCUUUGGAAUAGGACAUCAUAGAGGGUGAGAAUCCCGUAUUUGACCAUUAUUUCCAACUUUGUGAUACACUUUCAAAGAGUCGGAUUGUUUGGGAAUACAGUCCAAAAUGGGUGGUAAAUUUCAUCUAAAGCUAAAUACUGGCGAGAGACCGAUAGCGAACAAGUACCGUGAGGGAAAGAUGAAAAGAACUUUGAAAAGAGAGUUAAACAGUACGUGAAAUUGUCAAAAGGGAAGCGUUUGACACCAGUGUUGUUUUCUCGAAAAUCAAUUAAAAAUGGCUGGAUUUUGUGUUGUAUUGACUUUAUCAGCUUUCUGCACUUUUUUCUUGUCUUUUUUAAUGCACUUUUCGUUUAACAAGUCAACAUCAAUUUCUUUUGUUGUAAAAGAGUCAUUGGAAGGUGGCUUUCACUUCGGUGAAAGUGUUUAUAGCCUUGUACUUCUGCAAUCGGAGAGAUUGAGGUCUGCAGCGUAGAUCCUUCGGGGUUAGAUACACUUGUGCUAAGUUAUAGCUUUUCAUAGACAACUUGUUGAUUAUGAUUAGUCUUGUAGCUUACUCGCUUGUACUAUUUUACCUACGCUUAGGAUGUUGACAGCAGUAUAGACUGU